rnacentral:rRNA from 1 species
GAACAUACCAAUUGUUGCCUCGGCGGAUCAGCCCGCUCCCGGUAAAACGGGACGGCCCGCCAGAGGACCCCUAAACUCUGUUUCUAUAUGUAACUUCUGAGUAAAACCAUAAAUAAAUCAAAACUUUCAACAACGGAUCUCUUGGUUCUGGCAUCGAUGAAGAACGCAGCAAAAUGCGAUAAGUAAUGUGAAUUGCAGAAUUCAGUGAAUCAUCGAAUCUUUGAACGCACAUUGCGCCCGCCAGUAUUCUGGCGGGCAUGCCUGUUCGAGCGUCAUUUCAACCCUCAAGCCCCCGGGUUUGGUGUUGGGGAUCGGCGAGCCCUUGCGGCAAGCCGGCCCCGAAAUCUAGUGGCGGUCUCGCUGCAGCUUCCAUUGCGUAGUAGUAAAACCCUCGCAACUGGUACGCGGCGCGGCCAAGCCGUUAAACCCCCAACUUCUGAAUGUUGACCUCGGAUCAGGUAGGAAUACCCGCUGAACUUAAGCAUAUCAA